rnacentral:rRNA from 1 species
AGCGAGAUCCAUCCAGUGGCAACACUGGUGAAGAUCUAGCGGCGAACGGGUGAGUAACACGUGAGAAACCUGCCCCGGAGACCGGGAUAACCCGAGGAAACUCGGGCUAAUACCGGACACCCCCACCGAACCGCAUGAUCUGGUGAGGAAAUGCUCCGACGCUCCGGGAGGGUCUCGCGGCCUAUCAGCGAGUUGGGGAGGUAACGGCUCACCAAGGCUAAGACGGGUAGCUGGUCUGAGAGGACGAUCAGACACACUGGGACUGAGACACGGCCCAGACUCCUACGGGAGGCAGCAGUGGGGAAUAUUGGACAAUGGGCGCAAGCCUGAUCCAGCCAUGCCGCGUGAGUGAUGAAGGCCUUAGGGUUGUAAAGCUCUUUCGCCAGGGACGAUAAUGACGGUACCUGGAUAAGAAGCCCCGGCUAACUUCGUGCCAGCCGCCGCGGUAAUAC